GGUUCAGGUCCUUCCAGAGGGGAUAAAAAUACAGUGGAUUACGGCAUUGCAGCGUCUGCAAUUCCCAAGGAAGAAAUGGCUUUAGACAUUCAUACAGCAAGCCUGGCGGCCGAGUGCGGGUCUUGAUGUUGACAAUGAGGAAACUCAAAGAGGCCACAAGCCUGAGACCAAGAUCAUUGUCAAGGCUGAUUUUUCCGGGGGAUCAACUGACAACAGCAUUUCAAUGCCUAUAUGAAUAAAAUUGGAGCCAAAAAACAAGUUA